GUGGGGAAUAUUGGACAAUGGGGGGAACCCUGAUCCAGCCAUGCCGCGUGUGUGAAGAAGGCCUUUUGGUUGUAAAGCACUUUAAGCGAGGAGGAGGCUACCGAGAUUAAUACUCUUGGAUAGUGGACGUUACUCGCAGAAUAAGCACCGGCUAACUCUGUGCCAGCAGCCGCGGUAAUACAGAGGGUGCAAGCGUUAAUCGGAUUUACUGGGCGUAAAGCGCGCGUAGGUGGCCAAUUAAGUCAAAUGUGAAAUCCCCGAGCUUAACUUGGGAAUUGCAUUCGAUACUGGUUGGCUAGAGUAUGGGAGAGGAUGGUAGAAUUCCAGGUGUAGCGGUGAAAUGCGUAGAGAUCUGGAGGAAUACCGAUGGCGAAGGCAGCCAUCUGGCCUAAUACUGACACUGAGGUGCGAAAGCAUGGGGAGCAAACAGGAUUAGAUACCCAGUAGUCC
rnacentral:rRNA from 1 species